rnacentral:lncRNA from 1 species
CUGUGCUUCUCCCCUAGCUCCUGGUGGUUGCCACCAAUCUCCGGCCUUUCUUGGCUUGUAGCUGCAUCACCUCAAUCUCUGCCUCUGUCUUCACAUAGCCUUCUUUCCUGUGUUUGUCUGUGCCUUCAAAUGGGCUUCUUAGAAGGAUACUAGUCAUAUUUAGUGCCCACCCUAAUCUAAUAUGACCUCAUCUUCACUUGAUUCCAUCUGCAAAGACCUAUUUCCAAAUAAGAUCACAUUCUGAAGUUCCUGUGGACCUGGAUUUUGAGGGAUAUUCAACCCUGUAGAGUCUGCCCUUCAGCCCCUCAAAUUCACAUAUGUCUCAUGUGCAAAAUACAUUCAUCCCAUCUCAACAUAUCCAGAAGUCUUAACUAAUUCCAGCACCAACUGUUUUUUUUCCCUUUUUUUUUAACAAUCUUUCUCUUUCUUUCUUCUUUCUUUUCUUUCUCUCUCUCUUUCUGUCUUCUUUCUUUCCUUCCUUCCUUCUCUCUUUCUUUUUCUUCCUUUCCUUUCUCUCUCUCUCCUUCCCUUCCUCCCUCCCUCCUUCUUUCUUCCUUCCUCCCUCCCUCCCUCCCUCCUUUAUUCAACAAACGAUAUCUAUUAAGAAUGUAAUGAAGUAAGGAUUAAUACCUAAACACCAACUACUCCCUCCCUCCUUUCCUUCCUCUCUCCCUCUGUCUCUCUCUCUCUCUCUUUCUUUCACAGACAGGGUCCCACUCUGUCACCCAGGCAUGAUCAUUUGAGCCCAGGAGGUCGAGGCUGUAGUGAACUCUUUCUCAGACUUCCUUUCAAUCUCAUUUCUUUGAAGUCACUAACUAUUCAUUAACCAUUGUCCUUGAAUUAAUAUAAAUACAUGCCUCUGGCUAUCUCUUCUUCCAGGCAAAGUGAACAGCCAGGUGCAUUGCUCAAAGUUAUGUACAUUGGGAAGAUUUCCUGUUCAUUUAGAGCCACCAUUGAGUGGGGCUGUGAUGCUGUGACCAUUCCCUUUCAGGUGAUAUCACCACAUUGCACAGACUCAUCAGAAAAUCAGGCCUGGAUUUUUUCUUCCUCAUGUAACUGAGUUGAAGGACAGGUGUUAAUGGAGUAGGAGUAGGUGCUGUAGGAGUCUGAGUCACUUGCUCAUGCAACUCAC